UUUAAGACUUUUAAAAGUUAAUGAACGGGAAACAAAAAAACAGAAUGUAGACAAUUUACAUAAAGAGAGAGCCGAAGAUAAUGCCCAAAAAAUUGUCUUUGACGGCUUCAUAGAUUCAUUUGAUCCGCCAAUAAAUGAAGACUCAUUGAACGAUGAUUACGCAGUUUUUAGAGUACCUUAUAAAAUAAAACGAUUGUUCCACAGGAUGACAAUGAAAUGAAAAAUCGUGUACUUAAAACCGUUGAAACAAAACGUGACGAGAAACGACAACUGAUGACGAUCAGUAGUAAUGAGAACAAAUUAAAGGAAAAUGGAAAAUAUUUUGGAGAUCGGUUUUUAAGCAAUCAACAAUUG